UACAGGGGGCUCGAGCGUUAGUCGGAAUCACUGGGCUUAAAGGGUGCGUAGGCGGCUCGUCAAGUGCUUUGUGAAAUCCCACAGCUCAACUGUGGAACAGCAGGGCAAACUGACGAGCUUGAGGCAGGUAGGGGCCGGAAGAACAGUAGGUGGAGCGGCGAAAUGCGUAGAUAUCUACUGGAAUGCCGAUGGGGAAGCCGUCCGGCUGGGCCUGUCCUGACGCUGAGGCACGAAAGCGUGGGGAGCAAACAGG
rnacentral:rRNA from 1 species